CCCCAUUUAAGGGCUGACUGCCACUAGAGAAGGGUUUCUUUCUGGAGGUCACUCCUUGGUGAAGUUUCCCCUUUGAACCUGGAAUCUUAUGAUAUGGGUGAGGUUCAAAUCACAGGACAAGAAGAGCAUGCUCCAAAAAUAAAAGCAGACUUUGGCUUAUGCUGUCCAGUGAAUUGCCAUAUGAAUGCAGGAGGAUUUCGGUUCAUCCACAAUCUCCUGUCCUUACAAGAGUAACUAUAGCCAUGCUGGUGUGUUCAAAGGAAGGAAGAAGACAGCCACAUUACAGCUCUGUGUACUUUGGAAGCACUGCAAGAGAGAGAGGAGAAAUUCUGGAUGGAGGCCCAAUGUAUGGCAACAGAGCAGGAGAUGGAAGUGAUAAGAGGAAUACAUGCGGUGGGUCCCUACUGGGAGAAGAAGUUGUAGCUGAUUUUGUGCAUGUAAAAGAGUGCAGGCUUAAGUGGCUCUGGCUUUCCAGAGGGCACCUGCCUGCAGUGUCGGCAGUUCUUCCUGCACUUGAACCUGAACACAAGGCUUUACAUUGGAAUGGCUGUGAGAUUUCUCCUUCCUUCCUGCUAAUCUGUGUCUGCUAUUUCUGUGGAAAUGAAAGUACCUGAAACAAACCAAACGUUGGCCCCUACCCUGACAAAAUCAAAUUACUGUAAUGAAAUAGAAUUUUACAUCAUGAAUCACUAGCACCUAUCAGACCAUAACAUUGCAGCAGGCUGCUAAUGAGGCACUGCUGUUCAUCACCUGGUGUAAGUAUGCAGCUUCUUCAGUUAGAGAUUACUUCUAGAGAUGCCACUGUGAUCUCAGAAGCCCUUCAAGGAGCACCACCAUACAUAGGGGUCAAUUCACAAACAGGCAAAACAAAGCUGGGCUGUUUGCAUGCUGCAGUAACAUGUCCACAGUGCUCCUCUGUGUUCACAGAGAGUACAACAUGGGGCACAACUGGAAGCUGUGUUUAUGAGAG
ensembl:lncRNA